rnacentral:tRNA from 1 species
GGGGUAUGGCUCAGUGGUAGAGCAUUUGACUAGCAUCUAUAAGGCCCUGGGUUCAAAGCCCAGAACCACCA